rnacentral:rRNA from 1 species
UAGGGAAUAUUGCACAAUGGGCGAAAGCCUGAUGCAGCAACGCCGCGUGCUCGAUGAAGGCCUUCGGGUCGUAAAGGGCUUUUCUGGAGGACGAGGAAGGACGGUACUCCAGGAAGAAGGAUCGGCUAACUACGUGCCAGCAGCCGCGGUAAAACGUAGGAUCCGAGCGUUAUCCGAAUUCACUGGGCGUAAAGCGCGUGCAGGCGGCUGGAAAAGUUGGAUGUGAAAUCUCCUGGCUCAACUGGGAGAGGUCGUUCAAGACUAUCCGGCUAGAGGACGGUAGAGGAAGGUGGAAUUCCCGGUGUAGUGGUGAAAUGCGUAGAUAUCGGGAGGAACACCAGUGGCAAAGGCGGCCUUCUGGGCCGAUCCUGACGCUCAGACGCGAAAGCUAGGGGAGCGAACGGGAUUAGAAACCCCGGUAGUCCUAGCCGUAAACGAUGUAGACUGGGUGUCGGCGGAGUAAAAGUCUGUCGGUGCCGAAGCCAACGCGAUAAGUCUACCG